CAUAUCAUCCUGAUGAUCUGAAUUUUCUUUAUUAUAUAAUGAUCUUAGUUUUAUACACUGACAGUUUUUGGCUUAAAGUCCGUGUUGUCUGAUAAAAAUAGGUGUCUCUGUAAAAGAGAGACAUUUUGACACAGGGAGGACAGCAGGUGAAUACUGUAGCUAUGCUGCCACAUGGCAAGGAACUACCAGGACUGUGAGAGAAGGCUGAGAGAGAUCCUUACCUGGCACCUUCAGAGCAAGUGUGGCCCCCAGGACAUCAUGAGAGUGGACUUCUGGCCUUCAGAAUGAUGGAUGGUACAAAUGAUCCAUGAAUUGGGCCAUAACUGGAAAGGAACAUGGGAACUAUCAAUUCAUCUGUUGGAGGAAGAAAAUAGAGAAGAAGAAAGAAAAGCAGAACCAUCGAUGUGUACAUCACCAAAAUUGCCGAAGUGUUUCAAAUUGCAUAGACAUUGAAGGAAAAAACGAUGGAAUACAAAUCCUUGACUGAAACACAGCGUAAAAGUCACUCAUAUGAGCACUGAAGGACUACAGCCUCCGCAACAACAGUUUGAUGAUUUAAAAAGAAUGAGCCAACAACUUUCAACUACAACAUCUUCCAAAUGCUUCCUGCAAAAACAAUAACAACAGCAACAGCAAAAUCCUCACUAUUCAGGAUCCUCAACCAUCAGCACCGUCUGCUCCUGAUAUCCAACCAUUGACCUCGAUGUGGCUAGAUAAUCCAGAAUCGCCCAAAGCAGGUGGUCCUCCCCUGAGCAAUAGUAGCCUAGGGCUACAUCACAGAGCCCGCAUGGUUCACCCCACUUCGUCCCCUCACAUAGGCACUACAACACCUCUCAGCACCACAGGAAGUGUGGGUAUGGCACAAUAUGAUAUUUUGAGAGAGACUGAGAAGAACACAUUUGCAUAACUUUUAUUGCAGUAUAUUGCUAUAAUUGUUUCAUUUCAUUAUUAGCUAUUUGUGUUAGUCUCUUAUUGUGACAAACUUACAAAUAAAACUAUUACGGUUAUGUAUGUAUAGGGAAAAAAUAGUAUACAUGGGGUUUGGAACUCACUGCAAGUUUCCAGCGUGCACUGGGGGUCUUGGGACGUAUCUCCCAUGAAUUAGGGGAGACCGUGCAUUGCCAGUGUGGGGGCUGUCAGCCACUACCAUGUAGUUAACAACACGUGUAAGAGCUAAAUCAAAACGAAGCCCUGGGGCCAUUCGCAGGGUAAAAAAUCUGAAAAGAUAAAUCAUCCCAGCACUAUUUUGAUGAGCUAUUUAAUAUGCCAAAAUAAAUAGUCAGAUAUGAAUGAGGCCAUGAUAGAAAGACCCCAGACAAGUGUCAAGAGUCAAGUCACUAAAUGAAAGACUCUCAUCCUUCUUAAUCAAUAAAAGGAUGAGCCAUAUUAGCACCCAUUAGGGUGAGGCUUUUAAAUAUAUAUUUUAAGAUGAAAAGGUUCUUUCUUUUUCUCUCCACUACUCCGUGGUCCUAACUAUUGAGACUUUCUUCAGACAUGUUUACAUAGGUUAUCAUUCACUCUCAUGUAGAAAAUGCAUGCUAGGAGAGACUUUUCUUUUUAGUCUGAUACAAAUGCCUGCCAAUGAGGAGUCCCCCACGAUUCCUUUCCCAGGAAUAACAUAUCAGAAGCUAUCAAAACCAGUGAUAAUUCUCUGAAGGAGUCUUCCAGACAGUCAAAAUCAUCAUUCCUGCAUGGCAAGGACAAUUUAGGCUGUUUCUUGAGACCAAAUAGGCAGAACAGAUUCAUACUUGAAAGUAAGUACAGAUUACUAAGCAAAUAUAACAGCCUUAAAUAUUGUUUGUCAAACACUUUAAGAUUCUUAAUCUUCGUUUUACUGUGUGCCUAAUAAUGCCUUGUAUUGCACAUUCUUCUGAUACAAAAUGUCUGGCUCUUCAGGUAUAGAAUGGUACCUCUGAACACAUUAUACCAACAUAGAACAUUACAGAAGUAUUCAAUAUACAGUACGUGGUAUAUAUUUCAUGAAAAAUGCAUAUUUGUAUCUAAAAAUUUUAAUGUGCUUAUUAAUAAAAGAGAAAUAUAUCUAAAGAGAAGAAAUGCGUUUUUAGAAAUUAUCUUCUUCACUCACAAUGGAAGUUCAUACAUUAAUUUUUAAAAAUAUUUUUUGGUAAAAUUUGCUGUAUAACAAGCACCUUUAAAGGGAAGCAAUUUACAUUUUACAUACAUCAUAAGACCCACUUCUUAUAACUUUCACCUAAAGUCAAAUCUAGUCUAAGUCAUUAUUUGAGACAAAAACUAUCCCAUGAAGAACAAAUAAACAACGUAAAAAAAUAUAAAGAAUCAAAUUUAAAAGCACAAAUGUGCUGUAAAGGGAAGAAGAGGAUGAAUUCUGUUCCUCUUAAAUUUUGUUUCCUGAAUAUGGAUUUACACUGUGCAGGAUAUGAGUGAAAGCAGUAUGUGGGAUAUUUAUACUUUUAAUAUAUCAGACACUUUGCAUAUGCUGUUGUAGUAAGUGUCUUGAAAAAAGAAACUCACUGGAGGACGCAUAAUAAAUUCCUGUGAGAUUUACAGUCCAACUCCCUUACAUACAUGGAACACUAAGAUGUUUUAGCGAAAUGUGCUUGGGCAGCACAGAGUUGAAGAGCAAGGAUGCAGGGGAGGAUUAACAUGGGUUUGUCUAUUUCUCUCUGUAGUUCAAAAACUUGCAUGUUAACUUGUUUUAUUUGUUUGACUACAGGUUAGAUUAUUUUAAUCUCUCUCCAAUUUCUAGCAACUCUCUUUAGAAAGGCGUGACUACAAAGAGCUGAAAAGAGUGGUAUAACAAGCAAGAGUGCCUUGUUCUGUAAUCGAGCAUCCAUGAUCUUGAAGCUCUUCUCACCCACCGCUUUCACUUAUGGUAUUUAGUAGUCCUCAUUUCUGGUUUUUCGCCUUUCAAGCAAAUAGCAGGAUUAUACUCAUAUAUCUCUUUAAAUUUAGGCAUGGACUGGUGACUUGUUUUGGCCAAGGACAUACAGAAUGAAUUGGCAUGGGUCACUUCCACGUGGAAAUUUUAAGAACCAGUGGAUAAUGAACUAUGUUCUCUUUUUUUUCUAUCUUAGCCAUUGUGGAAGCAUAGAGGUGCUACCUUUCCCAAUCUAGGUCCCUAAGUCCUAUAUUGCACCCAUGUGUUACUCUAGUUCAUCGUACAAAUUUAUUUGGGGUCAGGCUCACUCUUUCCUAUGUCCAUCCCACUCUCUGUCUCCCGAGUAUCACUCUGAUGUUUCAGACCACAGUAGAAUAAAUUUUACGGGCCUAUCCAAGACCCCCUCUGCCUUUCUUGUACAGGGUCUUGCAAUCUACACUCUCUUCCUAAGGGUUAAUAAACAAGAUCUCACAAACUAAUCAAGGAUUGAGACACACACCAUCUAGUUUCAGAACAGGAAAUAUGACCCAUAAAUACUAUUUCCCGGGAACAUUUUCCCCUGUGCUUUCUGCUCCCACAUGCUUUUAUAUGACAAACAUUAAUGAUCAAAGGCCAUAACUGCACGAAUGGGGGUCAGUAUCAAGAAAAGAGAAAUACCAGGGUGAAGAAAAUCAGCAUGAGUAAAUGUAUUAAAAAUAUCAAUGGGUGCAAAGUAGGGAUUUCAUCUAGUCCUUCAGCUACCUCACGUAUUCCCUGUUUUCUGUCUCCAUUUUGUGGCACACACCCUUCCUUCCACCCCUAAUACAGAGGUCUCAUGGUAGCUUCUCUUGCUAUAUUUUUACAUGUUCAUAUUAGACUUUUUUCUUUGAAAUAAAUUUAUGCUCACAAGAAGUUACAAAAACAUCACAGAAUUCUCAUGGGUCCUUCACUCUAAUUUCCCCAAUGAUAACAUCUUAUAAAUGCUCAUUUUUGACUGUGGCAUUUUACUUUGUGAUUUUAUAUAUUACCCUUAGGCAGACUCAGAUUUUUAGUCCUGCCACAUUUUGAGUUUUCAGAUAUGUCUUUUGAAAUCUCAAGUCAGACACUUUAACUAUAGACACAUUAUAGUUUUAACUAUAAUAAGCUACUCCUUUCACGAUGUCACCAGUUACCUCAGGCACACUACUAGAUGGACCGUGAAGCAAUCUCCUAUCUAAUUUUUUUCUAGUUCUCACAUCAUCCUUAACUUUCUCAAAUUCUAAAUUACAUUUCUUACCAGUGUCAAAUUCAGCUUCCUGAAACACAGCUCAGCUCUUAUCACUUUCUUGCUCGAACCAGGUAGCCACAAAACGUUUCCUAAUUUAUUUCCCGUGUCUUCUCUUUACGACGUAAUAAAGGUAUAAUUUAGUUGCAAGCAGUUUGGGAAACCGCCUUUUCCAUGGUCUCGCAUACCGGCAUGGAAGAACAUUCAUCAGGACAACACUCACAGCUUCUCUCAAUUUCCUGAGCCAUCCUCUCCAAGCGAGACGGAGGAACUGCUCCCCUUGGCAACACAGGAGUGAUUACACAUGCUUAACCCAGGCAAAACUUUUUGCUUUAUUUUUGAAAUCCAGCUUUCUAUAGGAAGGACGCAUUUGUGUUUAACAUGGUCGAUUUAACAAUUUUGAAAACAUUCUCCCUCUCUAUUUCUUUCUAAAAAUCCUUCUCUCUAAAUUUAUGAAAUGGUUCAAAUACUAAUUGAGUAUGUGGAGGAGUUCCACCAUCAACCUAUGUUGGUAGGGCAAUUACAUUAAAAGACUGUGUGUGCUUUUGUUUAAUCCACUUACUUUACUAUACGAGCUUCUUCCUACUGAUUUCUGACUUCUUUGACUGAUAUGAUAACACAUUUGGGAAGUUAUGGUCCCUUUUACUGUGCCUUUAAAUGAUUUUAUAUUUGGCGAGGAUGUAACUAACAGGUUUUUCCUAUAUCUCUUUAGAAGGCAUUAUGAAAUAAUACCAUUUAUGGCAAGAAAGACUGUUGCCAAAUGUGUACUCAGCUGUAUGCAAGUGUGGAACUCUUGGACAGAAGUGAGUAAUUGACAGGAGAAGUGGUCCUGGAAGAGGAAAAAGAAUCAUGAGUAUUAUGAGGAAGGACAAAAAAAAUGUACAUGUAUUUCUGUGCCUGACUUAUUUGACUUAGCAUAAUUUCCUCCAGGCUUAUUCAUGUUGCAGUAAAUGAUAGAAUUUUCUUCUUUUUAAAGGCAGAGUUGUAUCCCAUUGUGUGUAGACACCACACUUUCAUUAUACAUUCAUUCAUUGAUAAACCCUUAGGUUGAUUCCACGUCUUGACUACUGUGAAUAAUGCAACAAUGAACGUGUGAGUGCAGGUAUCUCUUUAACUUGUUGACUUCAAUUGCUUUGCUUAUAUACCCAGAAGUGGGAUUGCUUGGUCAUAUUCUAAUUCUAUAUUUAUUUCUUUGAGGAUACUCCAUACUAUUCUGCAUAGUGAUUGUACUAAUUUUUGUUCUGUAUAGUGAUCAUACUAAUUUAUAUUUUCACCAACAGUGCUCCGGGGGUCCCUUUUCUCCACAUCCUCACCAAUACUUGUUAUCUU